CUAAAUACUCCUGACUGACCGAUAGUGAACCAGUACCGUGAGGGAAAGGCGAAAAGAACCCCGGCGAGGGGAGUGAAAAAGAACCUGAAACCGUGUACGUACAAGCAGUGGGAGCACGCUUAGGCGUGUGACUGCGUACCUUUUGUAUAAUGGGUCAGCGACUUAUAUUCUGUAGCAAGGUUAACCGAAUAGGGGAGCCGAAGGGAAACCGAGUCUUAACUGGGCGUUAAGUUGCAGGGUAUAGACCCGAAACCCGGUGAUCUAGCCAUGGGCAGGUUGAAGGUUGGGUAACACUAACUGGAGGACCGAACCGACUAAUGUUGAAAAAUUAGCGGAUGACUUGUGGCUGGGGGUGAAAGGCCAAUCAAACCGGGAGAUAGCUGGUUCUCCCCGAAAGCUAUUUAGGUAGCGCCUCGUGAAUUCAUCUCCGGGGGUAGAGCACUGUUUCGGCAAGGGGGUCAUCCCGACUUACCAACCCGAUGCAAACUGCGAAUACCGGAGAAUGUUAUCACGGGAGACACACGGCGGGUGCUAACGUCCGUCGUGAAGAGGGAAACAACCCAGACCGCCAGCUAAGGUCCCAAAGUCAUGGUUAAGUGGGAAACGAUGUGGGAAGGCCCAGACAGCCAGGAUGUUGGCUUAGAAGCAGCCAUCAUUUAAAGAAAGCGUAAUAGCUCACUGGUCGAGUCGGCCUGCGCGGAAGAUGUAACGGGGCUAAACCAUGCACCGAAGCUGCGGCAGCGACGCUGAUGCGUUGUUGGGUAGGGGAGCGUUCUGUAAGCCUGUGAAGGUGUGCUGUGAGGCAUGCUGGAGGUAUCAGAAGUGCGAAUGCUGACAUAAGUAACGAUAAAGCGGGUGAAAAGCCCGCUCGCCGGAAGACCAAGGGUUCCUGUCCAACGUUAAUCGGGGCAGGGUGAGUCGACCCCUAAGGCGAGGCCGAAAGGCGUAGUCGAUGGGAAACAGGUUAAUAUUCCUGUACUUGGUGUUACUGCGAAGGGGGGACGGAGAAGGCUAUGUUGGCCGGGCGACGGUUGUCCCGGUUUAAGCGUGUAGGCUGGUUUUCCAGGCAAAUCCGGAAAAUCAAGGCUGAGGCGUGAUGACGAGGCACUACGGUGCUGAAGCAACAAAUGCCCUGCUUCCAGGAAAAGCCUCUAAGCAUCAGGUAACAUCAAAUC
rnacentral:rRNA from 1 species